rnacentral:rRNA from 1 species
GACGAACCGAGCGAACGUUGUUCGGAAUCACUGGGCUUAAAGGGCGCGUAGGCGGGCUGCCAAGUUUGGGGUGAAAUCCCCCGGCUCAACCGGGGAAUUGCUGGGCAUACUGGCGGUCUUGAGCGAUCUAGGGGCAGAUGGAACAAGUGGUGGAGCGGUGAAAUGCGUAGAUAUCACUUGGAACGCCAAAGGUGAAGACAGUCUGCUGGGGAUCUGCUGACGCUGAGACACGAAAGCCAGGGGAGCGAACGGG